ACAGUCUUACCUGCUUUAGAUGAUGUGGUC
rnacentral:piRNA from 1 species